rnacentral:rRNA from 1 species
CCUACGGGGUGCAGCAGUGGGGAAUAUUGGGCAAUGGAGGCAACUCUGACCCAGCAACGCCGCGUGAAUGAUGAAGGUCUUCGGAUUGUAAAGUUCUGUGAUGGGGGAUGAACACAAUGACGGUACCCCAAUAGCAAGCCACGGCUAACUACGUGCCAGCAGCCGCGGUAAUACGUAGGGAGCAAGCGUUGUCCGGAUUUACUGGGUGUAAAGGGUGCGUAGGCGGUCUUGCAAGUCAGACGUGAAAACCACAGGCUCAACCUGUGGACUGCGUUUGAAACUGUGGGGCUUGAGUGAAGUAGAGGUAGGCGGAAUGCCCGGUGUAGCGGUGCAAUGCGUAGAGAUCGGGAGGAACACCAGUGGCGAAGGCGGCCUACUGGGCUUUAACUGACGCUGAGGCACGAAAGCAUGGGUAGCAAACAGGAUUAGAUACCCCUGUAGUC